GCAGAGAUAGAUUAAUUUAGUUAUAGAAAUACCAAUUAUGAGUGCCCCAUGCCAGAGCAAACCGUGGCCCUGAACCAUUGCCUGGCCUCUGUGUCCAUAGGCUGCUGGCACUGAAGUGGGUUGCACAGAG